rnacentral:lncRNA from 1 species
AAAAAGAAAAAAAGUUAAUGAAUAAAUUUCAAUUAUACUCCCAAACUUUUUAAAAAAGUACAAAUGAGUACAAAUAAAUUAUUAAAAGGGUAAUUAGCCAAAAAAAAGUUCCUAUCUUUCAUUAUUAUUGUGCAAAACAUCUAUACUUUUCAUUUUUUUACAUUUUCGUCCUUAUUUUAUAUUUCAUUGUGAAAAUCGUUAUUUUUAUCCAUUUUCUUAAUUAAAAGUUGUAAAAUGAUAAAUAUACGCUCCUCUUUAAAUAAAUAAAUAAAAUAUAUAGAAAUGUAAAGAACAAAUUUCAACUAUGUUUUCAAAAUUUUCAAAAAAAGUACAAAUAAAUUUCAAAUAAAUAAUUUAAAAAUCAACUGAUUUUUAAAUUAUUUAUUUGAAAUUUAUUUGUACUUUUUUGAAAAUUUUGGAAGUAUAAUUGCAAUUUGUUUUUAUUUUUUCUUUUCUUUAUUUUUUAUUAUUUAAAGAGUAUGGUAUAUUUGUCAUUUUACAGUUUUUAAUUGAGAAAAUGUAUGAAAAUAACGAUUUUUGCAAUUAAAUAUAAACAUAAGGGUGAAAAUAUCAAAAAAUGAAAUGUAUGGACAUUUUACACAAUAAUAAUGAAAAAUAUAGACGUUUUGUGCUAAUGACCAUUUUAAUAAUUUAUUUGGAUUCAUUUGCACUUUUUAAAAAAGUUUGGAAGUAUAAUUGCAAUUUAUUCUUUAACUUUUCUUUUCUUUUUUAUUGUUUUAUUUUAAAUAUGGGUAUAUAUGUCAUUCUACGCGAGAAUUUGAUGAAAUUAUGAUUUUCGUAAUAAAAGGUGAAGAAAAGGAUAGAAGUGUCAAAAAAUGAAAGAUGUCGUUUUGCACAAUAAUAUUGAAAAAUAUGGACAUUUUGUGCUAAUUACAAAUACAAUAUUCUAUCCUAUCUAUAUAUCUACCCCAUGAAGGCAAAUAUCUCACACCACAGAAAAAGACAUCUCACGACUAGGGAGAGUGAAUAGUUGAUAUGUACAGUGGCAAUAGUUUCAUAUCUUUUGUCAAAAAGGAAAUUUGAAGUGUGGAAUCUCUUGAUUUUCUUUCAAAAAUUUAUUUGAUCUGACGAGGUAGGACAACGGGGUGCUGUUGGGGUGCUGUUGCUUUUUAUCCUAUUUAAAUUACCUUUUUUUUAUGUUGUUAAAGUAUUAUGCUAAUGAAAGUUAAAAAUAUGACAUUUUAUCUAUGUUAUGGCCAUCCGAUAUCAAAUAUAUGAUAUUUAUUGAACUCUUAUAGAUUUUUAAAGAUAUAAUGACGCAUGACAUUUUUGAUACAUGUUUUUCUUAAAAGUUUAAAUGAAAUUUUUAAUAAUGAUUUAAAAACUUAAAAACUUGGAUUAUUACAUAAGCACCAUCUGGCUAAUCAAUAGCAGCCAAAACGCUGCCAAAUUGUACAUUGUCGAUGAGUCCAUCAAAUGUACAUGUCAUCAAGCUUAAAAAGAAGUAAAAAUUCAAAAUUUUGAUUUCCAAAAGUAUUUGAAUAAGUUAAAUUUUCUUACUUAUUUAAAAAAAAUUAUUUGUUAAUACACUCGCAAAAUAAAAAAUUUGAAAUAUAUGACAAUAUUGAGUGUUAUAAAAUGGAGUUUCUUUAGUUACUAGGACUCUUCAUCAUUAUCAUUAUUUAUAUAUAAUUUCUACAUAAUUAUAUUACAAAACAUUAUAUUAAUUUUUUAUUGUAUAUAGUUCGAUUAAUUAGGAAACUUUGGAGAAAGAAAUAUUAUGAUACUGUAAACAAAAUAAAGUAAUAGUAAGGUCGAAUAAAAAGUUGUUUGAGUAAUUCAGGGGAGCAGCAUGCCCCCACUCCCACCCCUACAAUUGGCUGAGAGUCAAGUUGCUUGAGUAAUUCUCAUCCAUUUACUAUUAGGGUGCGUUUGAUUAUCAAUAUUUUUCAUGAAAAAUGUGUCAUCUUUAGUUUAUUUUGUAUCAAACAUCAUAAUAUUUCUUUCUCUAAAUUCUCCUAAUUAAUCAAACUACAUACAAUAAAUGAAAAUUAAUAUUUUUGUGACGUACCAGUUUGUACUCUCCGAUAUGCCACUUUGGUGCGGUGACAUAUGAAUAGUCAAGGAAUGAUGACGAGUGUAAAUCCUUGAUCUUGUAUCCACUUUGAUUUUUCACCAUCACUUUGAAGUUCUUAAAGUUUCAAAUGCAUCAGCCUUUUCUCUAAAAGAUAAACCCUAGUUGUGUGAGAAAAAUCAUCAAUAUAUAACAUGAAAUAAUUAUUUUUACACCAUAAAUAUUUGUAUGCACCAAUUCAAGAGGCUUUGUUGCUCAGUAACUUGCUUCUUUUGGAAAAGCCUUUCGAAAUUGCUUCCCAUAGAGACAUCAUUCACAAAGUUGAUUUGGUUGAUGAAUAUGUGGCAUUUCCUUCACCAUGUUCUUUUUCGCCAAGAGAUUCAAACUGUCAAAAUUUAGAUGUUUGAGUCUCAAAUGCCAUAGCCAUGUUGAAUCUUUGAUACAUGCAUUCAAGCAUUUAACUGAAUUAGAAUUUUUACUCAAAUGCCAUAGCCAAGUUCCUGUUUUGUUCUGGAAUUAUCAUUUGUUAAUUUCUCAUUUGGAUGUCGUAUCACUUCUCCAAAAGUUAGCCCAAGCUCAGAAUAUUUGUUUUCAUAGAAGGAACAUAAUAGACAUUGGAAAUAUAUUGGUGUUUUCCGUUCUUCAUUUGAAUAAAAAAAUUACCUUUUCCCUUGACUUCAACCUUUGAUGCAUCUCCAAAUGUGACAUGGCUAUUUACCUCUUCAAGCUCCAUGAAAAUAGAUUUGGCUCCACACAUGUGGUUACUUGCACCAACGUCUAAAUACCAAGAAUAGUUACCUCCUUCUUGCACCUUGUAUGUCAAGAGUAAUGUUCCUUCUCCUCUGUCUUUUCAAUGUAAUUGGACUACUCCUCAACAUUAUUAUUCCUACACUCCCAUGCGAAAUGUCAAAGUUUGUGACAGUUGUAACAUUCGACUUGAGAGAUUCAUAUUUUCCACCACUGUUUCUUCUUUCUCCUCCUCUUUGAUAAUUUUGUCUUCCUCGUCUUCUCGAAUUAGUGUUGAUAAGUCCCUUUAUUGUUGUUGAUUUUUUGGAAAUUUCUAUCUCCUCUUCCUUGACCUAUUCCACGUCCUGUUUCUCAUUGGCUCCUACUGUAUUUCUCUUUCUUGUCUUCAAAAGAAGACUUGUUCUACCAGUUGUUGUUUCUUCUUUAACCUCUCCUUCUCAGCUUGUAAGGUGCCCAUGACUUAAUCAAUAGUCAUUUCUUUCAAAUCCUUCGACUCUUCAAUUGCCACAACAAUAAAAUUGAAUUUUUCAUGUAAAGACCGAAAAAAAUUUGAUCGCUUGAAGAUCAUUCAUUUCUUCUCCACUUCGUCCCCUUCAUAUUCUCCCCUCAAAGAUUGAAAACGAACCAUUUUUACUUUGGUUGCACCUGUGUAGGUGUUUUCAAGAAUCUCCCAUGCUUGCCUUGGGGUAGUAGUAUUAGAACCUUUUGAAAAAUUGUAUCAUCAAGUACUGGAUAGAUCACACUUACAGCCUUUUGAUCCUUCCUCUUAGUUGUUUGUUGCAAGUCUCUUUGGGCUUGACACAAGCCUUCAUCAUUUUGAAGUUCAAAAUCUCUCUCUACCAAGUCCCAUAUAUCUUGACUUUCAAGAUAUGCCUUCGUACGGAUGUACCACGUACUAUAAUUGUCAUAUGAGAGUUGAGGAACUGAAAGAGAGUUGUUGUUUGCCAUCUCUUCUUCUCACACUUGUACAACCUCACUCCGAUACCACUUUUGUUGGAAACGAUGAAAUAACUUUAAGAAAGGAGAGAGGAUAAAUUCAAGAGAACAUUCAGCUUUUAUUUUUUGAAUAUGCUUGUACAAAUACUAGAAUCACAAGCCUUUUAUAGGCUUUACAAAGAAUGUACCUAAUCAAGUACAUGUUUUCACCAUUAUUACAUUCUUCAUUCUAAAGCGAUUCAGUAAAAUAUCAACAUACAUGAACAACCAGUACAUGAAUCCAUUGUACAUGUUCAUUAAUUAGAACACAUGUAUAACUUAUAUUUCUAACAUUUCUUACAUUAAGCAUAUAUAACACGAAUGUACAUAAAUUCUCGAGUUUGUUAUUCGACAUCAAGAAGAUUAAUGAACAGUGGAGACAUUUCUGUUGAAUUUGUGCCUCAAAAUAAGGAAAUAUUGAAGAUUGCCUGUGAUCCUUAAACUUGGAAAUAUCAAAGUGGUAGACAAAAGGAAAUGGGAUCAAUUGGUAUCCAAAUCCGAGACACGUUAAUAUGGAAAGAAUCAAAGGAAUAAGGAAGAAAAAUAUGUGUACCGUGGACAGAUUUUUUUUACACGUUUUUUUCCUUUUAAUUUCCAUCUUUUGCCAAGACUCGUGUAUACACGUUUUUUUCUUUUAAUUUUCAUAUUUUGCCAAGACUCGUGUACUAUAAAUAUAGGACUCCUCUUUCAGUAUUGUUAGAAGCCUUUUGUUGUAUUGUGCUCCCCUUUCAUAGUGAAUUAAUAAAACAUCGUUCCUUCUGUCAGUUCUUCUUCAUCAUAAUAUUUCUUUCUCUAAAUUCUCCUAAUUAAUCAAACUACAUACAAUAAAUGAAAAUUAAUAUUUUUGUGACGUACCAGUUUGUACUCUCCGAUAUGCCACUUUGGUGCGGUGACAUAUGAAUAGUCAAGGAAUGAUGACGAGUGUAAAUCCUUGAUCUUGUAUCCACUUUGAUUUUUCACCAUCACUUUGAAGUUCUUAAAGUUUCAAAUGCAUCAGCCUUUUCUCUAAAAGAUAAACCCUAGUUGUGUGAGAAAAAUCAUCAAUAUAUAACAUGAAAUAAUUAUUUUUACACCAUAAAUAUUUGUAUGCACCAAUUCAAGAGGCUUUGUUGCUCAGUAACUUGCUUCUUUUGGAAAAGCCUUUCGAAAUUGCUUCCCAUAGAGACAUCAUUCACAAAGUUGAUUUGGUUGAUGAAUAUGUGGCAUUUCCUUCACCAUGUUCUUUUUCGCCAAGAGAUUCAAACUGUCAAAAUUUAGAUGUUUGAGUCUCAAAUGCCAUAGCCAUGUUGAAUCUUUGAUACAUGCAUUCAAGCAUUUAACUGAAUUAGAAUUUUUACUCAAAUGCCAUAGCCAAGUUCCUGUUUUGUUCUGGAAUUAUCAUUUGUUAAUUUCUCAUUUGGAUGUCGUAUCACUUCUCCAAAAGUUAGCCCAAGCUCAGAAUAUUUGUUUUCAUAGAAGGAACAUAAUAGACAUUGGAAAUAUAUUGGUGUUCUCCGUUCUUCAUUUGAAUAAAAAAAUUACCUUUUCCCUUGACUUCAACCUUUGAUGCAUCUCCAAAUGUGACAUGGCUAUUUACCUCUUCAAGCUCCAUGAAAAUAGAUUUGGCUCCACACAUGUGGUUACUUGCACCAACGUCUAAAUACCAAGAAUAGUUACCUCCUUCUUGCACCUUGUAUGUCAAGAGUAAUGUUCCUUCUCCUCUGUCUUUUCAAUGUAAUUGGACUACUCCUCAACAUUAUUAUUCCUACACUCCCAUGCGAAAUGUCAAAGUUUGUGACAGUUGUAACAUUCGACUUGAGAGAUUCAUAUUUUCCACCACUGUUUCUUCUUUCUCCUCCUCUUUGAUAAUUUUGUCUUCCUCGUCUUCUCGAAUUAGUGUUGAUAAGUCCCUUUAUUGUUGUUGAUUUUUUGGAAAUUUCUAUCUCCUCUUCCUUGACCUAUUCCACGUCCUGUUUCUCAUUGGCUCCUACUGUAUUUCUUCUUCUUGUCUUCAAAAGAAGACUUGUUCUACCAGUUGUUGUUUCUUCUUUAACCUCUCCUUCUCAGCUUGUAAGGUGCCCAUGACUUAAUCAAUAGUCAUUUCUUUCAAAUCCUUCGACUCUUCAAUUGCCACAACAAUAAAAUUGAAUUUUUCAUGUAAAGACCGAAAAAAAUUUGAUCGCUUGAAGAUCAUUCAUUUCUUCUCCACUUCGUCCCCUUCAUAUUCUCCCCUCAAAGAUUGAAAACGAACCAUUUUUACUUUGGUUGCACCUGUGUAGGUGUUUUCAAGAAUCUCCCAUGCUUGCCUUGGGGUAGUAGUAUUAGAACCUUUUGAAAAAUUGUAUCAUCAAGUACUGGAUAGAUCACACUUACAGCCUUUUGAUCCUUCCUCUUAGUUGUUUGUUGCAAGUCUCUUUGGGCUUGACACAAGCCUUCAUCAUUUUGAAGUUCAAAAUCUCUCUCUACCAAGUCCCAUAUAUCUUGACUUUCAAGAUAUGCCUUCGUACGGAUGUACCACGUACUAUAAUUGUCAUAUGAGAGUUGAGGAACUGAAAGAGAGUUGUUGUUUGCCAUCUCUUCUUCUCACACUUGUACAACCUCACUCCGAUACCACUUUUGUUGGAAACGAUGAAAUAACUUUAAGAAAGGAGAGAGGAUAAAUUCAAGAGAACAUUCAGCUUUUAUUUUUUGAAUAUGCUUGUACAAAUACUAGAAUCACAAGCCUUUUAUAGGCUUUACAAAGAAUGUACCUAAUCAAGUACAUGUUUUCACCAUUAUUACAUUCUUCAUUCUAAAGCGAUUCAGUAAAAUAUCAACAUACAUGAACAACCAGUACAUGAAUCCAUUGUACAUGUUCAUUAAUUAGAACACAUGUAUAACUUAUAUUUCUAACAUUUCUUACAUUAAGCAUAUAUAACACGAAUGUACAUAAAUUCUCGAGUUUGUUAUUCGACAUCAAGAAGAUUAAUGAACAGUGGAGACAUUUCUGUUGAAUUUGUGCCUCAAAAUAAGGAAAUAUUGAAGAUUGCCUGUGAUCCUUAAACUUGGAAAUAUCAAAGUGGUAGACAAAAGGAAAUGGGAUCAAUUGGUAUCCAAAUCCGAGACACGUUAAUAUGGAAAGAAUCAAAGGAAUAAGGAAGAAAAAUAUGUGUGCCAUGGGUAGAUUUUUUUACACGUUUUUUUCUUUUAAUUUUCAUAUUUUGCCAAGACUCGUGUACUAUAAAUAUAGGACUCCUCUUUUAGUAUUGUUAGAAGCCUUUUGUUGUAUUGUGCUCCCCUUUCAUAGUGAAUUAAUAAAACAUCGUUCCUUCUGUCAGUUCUUCUUUUACUUACUUUAAUCUUGUUCUUGGAUUAUUUGUGAUAUUAUUCAAUACUUCAAUUACAAAAAGCUGUAUUCAUUAAAUCUCAAUUCCUGCAUUAUUGGUCAAUCGGUCUCAACAAGUGGUAUCAGAGCGGGGUUGUUGGUGGAUUUUUGGCCUGAAACUGAUCGAAAAAUCGUCUGAAAAUUACCAGAAAAUCAGAAAACGAAUCUGUCCAAUUUUUCGAUUUUCUGCCGGAUCUAUUUUUGCGUUUUCUGGUCAAACCAAAAAGAGUUUGGAGAAAUAAACACCACCAGUGGACUCAGCAGACAGAAAUGAUCCAGAAAGGGUCACAGGUCGUCGGCGAGUUUUCGGCCAGUCGCCGGCGGUGGAACUCGGCGUGUGCGGUGGUUUCCGACGACAGUGUCUUCAGACAGUUUUCUCUAGACAACGAGACGGACCUUGUGGUGGUAUCCAAUUUCAGUUUUGGGCAAAAUUAUGGUUCUAAACUAUUUUGCCCUUUGCACGUUCGGUAGUUUUCAAUUUUGGGUGUUGCAGGUUGCAAGUUCUACUUGAUUUGAUUGAGAUUUUUUAGAGAUGAAUUCGUUGAAGUAUGAAAUUUCGCUAUUGGAUCACAAUACAAGAUUUUUGUUGUGGCAAGUAAAGGUGAAAGCUGUGUUGACGCAGAUGGAUCUUGAUGAUGCUUUGAUGGGUUUUGAUAGGAUGCCAGCAAAUUUGUCUAUGGAGGAGAAACAACGGAAGGAUCGGAAGGCUUUAGCGCAAAUCCAACUUCCUUUAUCCAACAAUUUGCUGCAAGAUGUUUUGAAGGAGAAGACAGCGGCUGCUUUGUGGCUCAAGUUGGAACAGUUGUGCAUGACAAAGAGGUUGACGAGCAAACUGACUCUAAAGCAGAGGUUGUAUUCUCAUCGCAUGGCGGAAGGAAGGUCACUACAGGACCACCUUGCUGUGUUCAAGGAGAUCGUUGCAGAUUUGGAGACGUUGGAGGUAAAAUAUGAUGAAGAUGAUCUAGCCUUGGUCCUGUUGUGUUCGCUACCCAAUUCGUUUUCGUCAUUUCGUGAUACUAUUUUGUAUAGUCGUGACACGUUAUCCAUUGAGGAGGUAUACGACGCCCUGUUCUCAAAAGAGAAGAUGGAGUUGUUGGUUGGAGAUCCUGCAUCUAGGAGUGGGGAUGCUCUUGUUACUCAUGGUGAUCGAUAGAGGGGUAGAUCGAAGGUGAAGUACAGCAAUGUGUAUUGUUAUUACUGCAAGAGGAAAGGAUACAUCAAGAAAGAUUGCGACAAGUUGCAAGGUAAAGGUGAUUUACAUGCAAAUCAUGCGGGGCAAUCAGGUAAUUCGAACGAAACUAAUAUUGCUGAAAAUUUUUGUGAUGAUGGAGAUGUGAUGUUGGCUGCAUCUGACGGGGAAUCCAAAUCUGAGGAGUGGAUUCUGGAUUCUGCUUGUUCGUAUCAUAUGUGUCCCAAUAGGGCUUUGUUUCAAACAUAUAAGAUAGUGAAGCAAGGUGGAGUUGUCAUGGGAAACAACCAAUCUUGCCAAGUUGCAGAAAUCGGUCGAGUCAGAUUGAGGCUACAGGAUGGAACAGUGAGGACACUUGAUCAAGUUCGCCAUGUUCCAGACUUGACAAAGAAUCUCAUAUCACUUAGUACCUUGGAUGAAAAAGGGUAAAAAUUUUCUGGUGGAGGUGGAGUCUUGAAGGUUCGAAUGGGUGUCCAGGUUGUACUGGAGGGAUGGAGGAAAUCCCAGUUGUACAUCUUGCAGGGGAGCGCAAAACCAGUUUAGAGACAUUUGGAAAAAUUUAGUACCGUGAUGGACAUUCAAUUUGAUACAGUACCUCUCGGGUUUGGCUCUAGGUUAGUUAAGAACUUUGCUCAAGAGAGUGUUGGUGAUUCCGUUUUGCUACCAAUUUUAGCGGGUACAUUGUGUUCUUGUAAUGCCAAUGGACUCAUGGAGCGUAGGUACAAUUUUGGAGAUGUCUGUAAUACUUUAGAAAUCAUUGAAGGUGACAAUAUUGACAAGGGACCUUCUGAUUGUGCAUUUGGUGUGGUUUCUGCUACAGGGUAAACUUCAACCCUAUCCAGUGAUUGUUAAUUCCAGGAGGAAUUUUGGGAACCCGGGUUUGGAUUCGGGUGUCACUUGUGGACGCCGGGCGGGGGAAUGUGUUAUCGUGGAAAGUUUGGUUACUGUGUCGAGGAGUUUGGUUAUUCUGAUGUAGACGUAUUAUUUCUUAAAGUGGAGAAAUUUUGGAGUUUCGUUCAUUACACUGGAUUUUGAGUCAAGGUGGAGAUUGUUGAAUUUGUGCCUCAAAAUAAGAAAAUAUUGAAGAUUGCGUGUGAUCCUUAAACUUGGAAAUAUCAAAGUGGUAGACAAAAGGAAAUGGGAUCAAUUGGUAUCCAAUCUAAGACACGUUAAUAUGGAAAGAAUCAAAGGAAUAAGGAAGAAAAAUCAAAAAUGUGUGCCGUGUUACACGUUUUUUUCUUUUAAUUUCCAUAUUUUGUCAAGACUCGUGUACUAUAAAUAUAGGACUCCUCUUUCAGUAUUGUUAGAAGCCUUUUGCUGUAUUGUGCUCUCAUUUCAUAGUGAAUUAAUAAAACAUCGUUCCUUCUGCCAGUUAUCUUGUUCUUGGAUUAUUUGUGAUCUUGUUCAAUACUUCAAUUACAACAACUUGUAUUCAUUAAAUCUCAAUUCCUGCAUUAUUGGUCAAUCGGUCUCAACAAUUUCAUGGUAUGCCUUUUCAGGAGAAAGUAAAUUAGCAGCCUCUGUAGGAUGGAAUCCAUCCCAAAACAUGUAGUUGUCUCUGUUAUUGCACGGAACAGCUUCAGGAAGACAGUGUCCUAAUUUGAUGGAGCCCAAAGUGGAGUGCUCAAAUCUGUGAUGUUUCCUGUAAUAAUGUAGUAACGACUAGUCCAAUUGAACAGUUUUUGUUGAAGAAUAAGUUUAAAUAAAUUGAUGUUGUCACGACAAUCAAAAAAUUAAAUGCAUAAAAGUAGGGAAGGAGAAGCACACCAUAUGAAUCAGUACCAGUGUUUGUGUCUAUGAAAUUUGCAUAUGCGAUAUGAUAGUUUAGAUAAUCAAGAAGUUUCUUCAGUUUGCCGUUCAAUAUUUCAAAUAUUUUGGCGGCAUUAUUGAUUGGUUUCACGCACAAUGAGUCAUUCGAGCCAUACAAAGCUAUCUAUGUACAGCUACUUUUCUUACUCCAUAUUUAUACAACUUCUGCAAUAAAGUAAAAGUAUGUGUAAAAUUAAAGUAGAACGUGUUUGGUAUGUUGAACUGAACAUGAUUGUAUCGGAUUAAGGAAAAAUUGGAGGUGCAGCCUCUAAAUUUCAACAAAUAAAGCUCGUAAAUUCCCAGUAAGUUCUUUAUAGACUUCAGCAUCCAAACUUUUCAUCUUUGAUGCCGGUUCCAACAUGUAGAAAUUCGGUUUUUCUGUCGAACAGUUACCUGCUUUGCAAAUGAUGACUUGCUCAAGGGUUAUUUCGUCUACACAUUUUUUCCUUUCAAAAAGGUUACAAAGGGGAAAAGAAAAGACAUCAGCACCUAAAAGUCAGUAGUCCACUUCCCAUAUUCUUAACUGUUCUUGAGAAAUAAAAAAUAGAAACCUCCAAAUAAGUCAUCACGCUCAAACCAGUGACUGUUUGAUGGCAAAAUUGAUGAAUUGCAUCCGAUAAUAUUGACAUAUACCAAAAUUGAAGUUGUUGGAAACCAAAAAGAAAAAUAAAAAGAUCAGGGAUUGACGUACUAUAUUUUUGAAGUUUUGGCACCCAACUGCAAAUUUCUAAGAAAUGACAGACAAAAUUUGUGUACCGAAUAUGUAAAAAGUGUAAGAGAAAGAAACGCUCACUCUUAGCUGUUACAAUUCUGAUAAGAAUCACAGCAAAUAGCUCUGGUGUAUAUAGCUAGGCUGCUUAAAGAGUAAAAUUGUGGUAAGUAGUAAUUGUUUAAGUGAUCGCUUGUAUGCACUUGUUUAGAUAGUUUAAAGUAAACUUUUCACCUCCAACUAAGGCUGCAAUCUUUGACAUCAUGACUUUGUGAUUUACUAAUUACUUGUUCAUGCUGAUCACAGCAACCUUCAAAGCAACAAAUAUUUAUCUUUUUUAUAAGUAUGCUCAAUAUAAGGCUAUAUAAAUAUAUAGUCAUUAGCUAAGAAAUUUGUCAAUCUCGGAUGUUAGUUCUCCGUGCAAGUUGUGCUCUCGAAGACAAUGGGCUGAGUAUGUUGUAGCAAUGCAUUAUGCUUCUUAGUUUCGGGUUACUAAUUUGUCGCCGUAGUUUUUCACUAUUUCACAUUAUACACCAAAAAUUAGCCUCCUAAAAUUCUUUAUGAUGGGGGUGAUGUAAUAUGUAUAUGAAUACUCAAUAUGAUAACAAACGUCGCACUCGGAGAGGAUGGAUAAGUUACAGUAUAAUUAGACUCUACACAAUUGCACAGUCUUCACAACUUUGUAUGUGUAAGAGAGAUAAUUUUCAAACCUCGGAAGUUCACCUGUGAAGAAAUUUCACUCAUAACAAAAGCAGCUUUUCUUGAAAGUAUAUGAGGACAUACUUAAAGGUUGAACCUCAACCUUGAGGGCCUCCACCGCUCCGCCCCUAGAGCCUUGUGAGGGAGGUAAAUCGCGAGAUGUGCCCCAACAGGCCAGGGAACAAGAACUGUCUGUACACUGCGCCUACAAGGAGUUCAAUUCCAUGUAUCAGGAAUCGAACCCCCACACUGCGGCUGCAGCAAGACGUGAGAUAACCUCACUCAUGUCCUUUACAUUAUUGGACUAUGUCCCGAGAGUCAAGUAUAUGAGGACAUACUUGUUCGUAGAAAACAUGAUGUAAGUGAAGGUAAGUAAAGGAAAUGAGAAGACUAACCUAUCCUUUGUAUGUGUGUGAGAGAUAAUUUUCAAAUCCCAGAAGUUUACCUGUCAUGAAAUUUCACUCAAAACAAAAGCAGCUUUUCUUAAAAGUAUAUGAGGACAUACUUGUUCAUAGAAAACAUGAUGUAAGUGAAGGUAAGUAAAGGAAAAUGAGAAGACUAACCUAUCAAAUCCGCUAUAUUCUUGCCAUUAGUGAAUAUCCCAGUUGGCAAAUCAAUUCCAUAAGGCAAAUAAUUGACUUUUGCAAUGGUAUUCAAAUUAUUAUAAUUUCCAUUAUCCACCAUUUAAGCCACCAAAUAUGAAGUAGCAAGGAAAUUUUGGAUCAGCAGAGACUAAUUGUGCCUCUAAACUUAAGGAUACUUCUACAACGGAAAACUGGAUGAACCAGAUAUUAGCUUAAUUAUUUUCCAUUGUUGAAGGAAAUUUAAGGUCAUAGUGGCUUAUUGAAAAUGAGUGGUCGACAGAGACAAUACGACUGGCAAGUGACACUAUUUACAUGGCAGGGGCACCUCAUGAUUAUUCUGGUGUGUCAUAAAUUACCUCUUGGCUUCUCUUCAGCCAUGAAAAUCACAUGUAUUUUAAACACAAGAGGGACAUACCCGACCUACAAAAAUGUAGAAAGAAACGAUACAAUGAUAUGACACAAAAACUGUACGCACGAGUUCUUGAAAAUGUAAUUUUUACUCAAAUCUAAGAAAAAAUCAACUUUCUCGGACAUACAAAAUUUUGAUUUCCAAAGAUGUUCGAAUAAGUUAAUUUUUUCUUAGAUUUAAGUAAAAAUUUUAAGUUCAAGAACUCGUGUGUACAGUUUUUUUUGUGUCAUAUCAUAGCGUUUCUUUCUACAUUAUUGAAGGUCGGGUAUGUUCCUCGUGUUUAAGAUACCUGCGAUUUUCAUGGCUGAAGAGAAACCAAGAGGGUAAUUUAUGAUACCCCAGAAAAAUCAAGAGACUGCCCCUUACCAUUUACUACUAAUUAUCAUGAGGUACCCGGUACCCCUUGCCUGUAUAUAUUAUAUUAUCAGUUGCCAGUCUUACCGUCCCUGUCUACCACUCAUUUUCAAUAAGCCACUUUGAGCUUAAACUUCCUUCAACAAUGGAAAAUAAUCUAAAAGUCUGGUUCAUCCAGUUUUUCAUUGUAGGAGUAUCCUUAAGUUUAAAGGCACAAUUAGUCUCUGCUGAACCAAAAUUUCCUUGCUACUUCAUUUUUGGUGACUCGUUAGUGGAUAAUGGAAAUAAUAAUAAUUUGAAUACCAGUGCAAAAGUCAAUUAUUUGCCUUAUGGAAUUGAUUUUCCACAAGGGCCGACUGGGAGAUUCACUAAUGGCAAGAAUAUAGCAGAUUUGAUAGGUUACUCUUCUCAUUUUCCUUUACUUACAUCAUGUUUUCUAUGAACAAGNNNNNNNNNNNNNNNNNNNNNNNNNNNNNNNNNNNNNNNNNNNNNNNNNNNNNNNNNNNNNNNNNNNNNNNNNNNNNNNNNNNNNNNNNNNNNNNNNNNNNNNNNNNNNNNNNNNNNNNNNNNNNNNNNNNNNNNNNNNNNNNNNNNNNNNNNNNNNNNNNNNNNNNNNNNNNNNNNNNNNNNNNNNNNNNNNNNNNNNNNNNNNNNNNNNNNNNNNNNNNNNNNNNNNNNNNNNNNNNNNNNNNNNNNNNNNNNNNNNNNNNNNNNNNNNNNNNNNNNUCUCUCUCUCUCUGUCUCUCUUACUCACACACACACACAUAGAGUCGUGAAGAUGGUAUGAUUGUGCAGAAUCUAUUUAUAUUAUAACUCAUCCAGUUAUCCUCUAUGAGUGCGACCUUUGUUGUCAUAUUGAGUAUUGUACACAUAUUACAUCACCCCAUCAUGAAGAAUUUUAGGAGGCUAAUCUUUGAUGUAUAAUAUGUUAAAUGAUCCUUUAAUCUUUUUCUUAAUUAACUAUAGUGAAAAAGACUACAAAUAAAAAACACACAAAAAAGAAACAGAAACCACUGCUACUAUAUAUAUAUAUAUAUAUAUAUAGCCUUAAAUAGAGCAUAUAUUUAUAAAAGAGAUUACUUUUUGUUACUUUGAAGGGUGCUGUGAUCAGCUUGAACAAGCAAUUAGUAAAUCACAGAGUCAUGAAGUCAAGGCUUGCUGCCUUAGUUGGAGGUGAAAAAUUUGCAAAACAGUAUCUAAGCAAGUGCAUAUAUACAAUUGUGAUGGGCAAUAACGAUUACCUAAACAAUUACUACUUGCCACAAUUCUACUCUUCAAGCAGCCUAUAUACACCAGAGGAGUUCGCUGCAAUUCUUAUCAGACAGUACUCUAAACAGCUAACAGUGAGCAUUUCUUUCUCUUUCACUUUUUACAUGUUGUGACUAAAGUCUGCAAAGAACUUAUUGGGAGUUUCAUGAGCUUUAUUUGUCGAAGUUUAAAGACUGGGCCUGCAAUUUUUCGUUAAUUCUAUACAAUCGUGUUCACUUCAAUAUACCAAACACGUUUCUGCUUUACUUUUACACGUACGUUUACUUUAUUGCAGAAGUUGUAUAAAUAUGGAGCAAGAAAAGUAGCUGUACUUGCACUUGGCCAAUUAGGCUGUUGUCCAGCAGAGGUAGCUUCAUAUGGCUCGAAUGACUCGUUUUGCAUAGAAACAAUCAAUAAUGCAGCCAAAUUAUUCAACGACAAACUGAAGCAACUUCUUGAUCAUUUCAACUAUCGUUUCGCAGAUGCAAAUUUCAUAUACACAAACACUGCUACCGAUUCAUAUGGUAUGCCUCUACUUCCCUACUUUUAUGUGUUUAACUUUCUGAAUGUCAUGAUGACAUUAAUUUAUUUAAAUUUAGUCUUCAACAAAAAUCGUUUGAUUAGAUUUGUCGUUACUACAUUAUCACAGGAAACAUCACAAAUUUGAGCACUCCAUGUUGUGCUCUCUCGGAUACUGGACGUUGUCUUGCCGGAGCUAUUACAUGCAAUAACAGAGACGACUACAUGUUUUGGGAUGGAUUCCAUCCUACUGAGGCAGCUAAUUUGCUUUCUGCAAAAAAGGCUUAUACUGAAAUGUCUCCACUGUUCACCAAUCUUAUUGAUGCCGUAUAAAAACUCGAGAAUUUAUGUCCGUUCAUGUUAUAUAUGCUCAUUGUAAGAAAUAAAUUUCAAAAAUAGAGUGAAUCUCAAAAAGAUAUAAAGAAUAUAGAGGAUCUCGAAAGAUAUGAAAUAUCUUCCCAAAGUAAUUUAAAAGAGAACUGAACCGAACCGAACUCGAAUUUUCGGUAUUUAAUAAAUAAAACCGUCGGGUUUGAAUAUAAUUAUGUAAUCGUUCGGAUUCGGUUUAGUUCGGUUUGAAUCGAUUCGAAUCGGUCAUGCAAUAAUUAAAAUUUUUAAUAUUUACAACGACGUUAUAUUAAUUCAACUAAUGAUAUGUGCAAUUUUAACUCUUACAAAAUGACGUAGUCUAAUCUUAUUUAUAUUAUUUGCAUCUCUCUUUUUUGAGUUCUUCAUAAAUUUGAUUAUUAAAAUCACAUAAAGAAGAAAAUAGCGAGCUCAUAAUAAUGAAGAAAGAUAUAGUCGAUCUUUCAAUUCAAUUUCUCUAAAACUAUAUAAACGACACUACUGUAGAAUAAUAGAUUUGGGUAAAAUUAAAAAUAGGAAAAUUAUAUUUAGGGUUUGAGCUAAAUUAAUUAGUUAGCAAAUUUAUUUAAAAAAUAUAAUUUGGCUCAUUUAAGAUAAAUAAAUUUUGAAAAAAUGAGCAGAUUCAAUUAUUAGGUUCUGGUCUAGAAUUGAGAACCAAACAAAAUUUGUCAGUUCUUGAUUCAGAUACACAUUUGAAUAUCUAAGAUAAGAAAAAUCGCUCGAUUCAGUUCAGUUCGGAAUGGGUCUGAUUUAAUUUGGGAUUUUUGUCCAGUCCUAACAAAAAGAAGGAAAUUUGCACAAUUGGUUCCCAAUCUAGUGGAUUACUAGCAAGUUGAGACUCAUUCUUUAAAAAGAUGCAAGUUGAUAUUCAACGCUUACAAUUGCACAAUUACGAAAAUUAUUUACAUUUGCAUAAAAUAAUCACUUGACCUUCACGUAUCUAGCUCCGUGAAACUAGAUUUUAUACUUGGACUAAUGUCCAUAAAUUUGAAAAACAUAUUUCAAACAGGAUCACGUAUGGUCCCCCAAUCCCCAUUUUCCUCUUGAAAACUUUGUGCCAUUUUCUCAGAUUUUGUGUUUUCUUAAGUAAAUGGCGUCAAAAAUUGUGAAGAGAACUCCCACAAAAUCCAUCAAGAACAGGAGAAAGCUCACUCAGCAAUGCUGCCGUAGCCAGAAGAGGUCACCCAUCAAGAAUGCCUCCGCCACCGCCACCGCCUCCGCCUCUGUGGUGUUUGCUUCUAUAUCAACAAGUCUAUUUAUGCUUGCCAGCGCCGCCUUAUCAAAAUUUUCACAAAAGUAGCUUGCGUUGCCACCCCCGAAGAAAACACCACAUAAGAAAAGGUAUCAAAUCCUUCAGAAAGACCAUGCCGACCCGCCAAAUUCUACCCGAAGAUCAAUGUUUAAUGAUAUGAUUCCUCUGCCACCGUUGCUUUCGCCCAAGAAGAAGACUAUUUUCCUCGAUUUAGACGAAACCUUGGUGCAUUUCAAGCCAGAACUGCCUCCAGAGAAGUACAAUUUCAUUGUUAGGCCAGUGUUUGAUGGAGAAAAGGUCGAAUUCUACGUGUUGAGGAGGCCAUUUGUAGAUGAAUUUUUGGAUUUUUUAAGCCAGAGAUUUGGGAUUGUGGUGCUCACUGCAGGGAUUUACGAGGAUGCUUCACUCGUGCUCGACAGGUUGGACUGGAGAUCCUGGAUAUCUCAUAGACUGUACCGGGAUUCAUGCAAGGAAGUCAAUGGGAUAUUCGUGAAGGAUUAGUCUAUUAUAGGGAGGGAUAUAGGGUGAGUGGCCAUCGUUAAUGACAACCCAAAUUCAUACGUGCUUCAGCCCGAUAAUGCCAUUCCAUUUCGACCCAUUGUCGAUGAUCUUGAAGAUGGGGAAUUGAAGAAGUUGAUUAAAUUCUUUGAAGGGUGUGAUUCUAUUGAAGACAUUAGCGAUGCUCUGAAGUUUUAUCUUGCAGAUCAAGAGGAGGAAAAGAAGGUAGAAGCUUAGUUUCAGUUAUUUCUUUUUUCUCUAUUUUGUAGUUAUAUUUAUUAUUUUAGUUUUCUUUUCAAACCUGCCUGCAUACAAUUUUAAACAUAAUGUGUUCAAUUUGAAAUCAGAAAGGAAACUGGGAACAGGGAAUAUCAAGUAUAAAAAUUAUCAAAAUUUCAGUUGAUCACUGUCAAAUGUUUUUAGCAGCUCUAUCAUUUUUGGGUUGCUUAGAAAUCCUUCAAAUUACAGAGUGGAACACUCGGUGCAUAUUUAGUACAUAGCACUAAAUAGAAGUAGACAGUACAAUGUGUAAGUGCAAAUGAAGGAAGUGUGACAUGUGCUCUUCACUUCAAGCUGCUAUGCUUAGCCAAUCAACUAGACAAAGCUGGGAUUUGGUCCUAAUAACCAGACUAGCUUAGCAUUUUAACUACUCUUCGUUGUUGGCUUUUGAAUGCUGAGUACAGUAGAAGAAAUGCAAAUUUAUCUAGGCUUUAUUGGCUGCCAGGUGCAAACUCUCAAGAUCAAAAUCACCAUUGUGCAAGAAACAUUAUCUCAUCACACUCAAUUCUCAUAUUCAAACUUUUGCAGUAUAAGUGGCAAAAGAUUUUUGAGUCUCACAUUCUGCUUUCACACCAUGUCCUGUUCAGGAUACUCAGACCACUUCAAAACAAAAAUGGUGAAAUACACUAAUAGACUGACCGACCGGUGACCCUUCUAAAUCAUGAUUGAUGAGCCUCUCUUCAUCGGUAGGCUAUUCCAUCAUCUUAUCAUUUUCACUAGGAUAAUUUCAGAGGUACUCAGCAUAAAUCAUGUAUUCGUAAUGUUGAAUAGAAAUGAUUUCAAAUAGUCAAUUUAUAAACUAGUAAAUUAUUAUUUAUUGAUAAAUUAGUAAUCCAUGUAAAGUAAUAAUAAUUUUUUUUUUUCCAAUUUUAACAUUCUUAUUUUAUAGAGUUUUUACUUUAUAUUGUUUGAUUAAUUAGGAGAGUUAGAGCAAAAAAUAUUGUGACUUCGUAAAGAAAAUAAGCUAACAUCGAAGAGAACUUCUUUUUAUUAUGUUAUUCAUUAACGUAUACACAUUGUUGCCUUUUCAAGGGGGGAAAAAAGGGUUAAAGUGCUAAUUUUGUACAAUAAUAAUGUAGAAGUAGAUGCACAAAUCAUGUAAAUAACCCUUUUAUACCAUGUUCAGUGAAGCGAAUUAUCUUAUACUACACAUACAAUUAAAUAUGUAGAUGUCCUUAAAUCACACGUAUAAGAAAAUUGAAUUUCAACAUUAAAACCAAGUAAUUUAAACUAGAACGGAAGACAAGGCUCAUCGUUGGUCUACAAAAAAAAUCUAUUUCUAUCAUUGACAUACUUUAUGAUGGUUGUGUGUCAAGAUUAAUUUCUAGUGGGGCCCUAAUUUUAUUAAAGAAAAAAAUUCAUAGUAGAUAGAUCACUGUUAUCAAAACACACAGACAAUGAAUGUUAGGAAUAAUAUUUGUGGCGUGUACGAUCAUGUGUGAUAGUCCUACUUGUCAAUUCGUGUUUGCCAUAUGAAUUCGGACUAGGAAUAGGAUAUCAUAGAUUUAUUAUAUUUUGGAAAAGAAUAAUAAAUAAAAGUGAAAUUAUUGAUCGUCACAAUCGCAUGAGUUGAGAUAAAUAUAACUGGUUGAGAAUUAGAACCAAGAAUGGAUCAGUGGCGUCGAAAAUCCAAUACGUUCACUCAUUUGAAUUUUAAAACAAACUUCCAUUAAUUUUACAAUUUUCAGUCACAGAACUUAAUUAAUUAUUCACAAAAUCAACUUUUGGUUACUAGCACGAAUUAAUUAUAUCAAAUACAUUAGAAUUAUAUCUUAUUCCCUAUGAUAUGAUAAUUCUUUCAUCACAAUUAUUACUUAUACAACGAACCCGUACAUUUGUGGGAUUUUCACAAACACCAAUCAACAGGACAAACCUGGGAUUUGGUCUGAGUAAUCAGACAAGCUUAGCAUUUUAAUUUCUCUUUCUUCUUAAUAUUGUCGAUUACUAUUUUUAGUAUACCUUAUGGGUCAUGCUACAAGGGUUCGAUUUGAUAGCUUGGAAUACUGAGUACAGUAGAAGAAAUGCAUAUUUUUAUCUGGGAUUUACUGGUUGCUGAUCUUUUGAUUACCCGCAAGUGAACGUGAUCGUGAACAAGUCAUGUAGCAGUGUAUAGAGUGUCGAACCCACAAAAAUUAUGUGUUUGAUCCAAUUAAAAUUAAUAAUACCCUUAAUGGAAUAGCAAAAUCAAGUUGUGACUAACCAAUAUUAAAUCUGACAACUAACUUGAAAGCAAAGUAAAAAUUUAUUAAAUUCGCGAGAAGUAUUGCUAAGAUGUGGAAUCCUCCUUGCUAAUCCAUUUUUUACGUUUCCAAUGUAUUGGACAGGAAUUUUGACAUUAUUGGGGAGAGUCACUGAUGCAUUCUGGACAUGUCUCAUUGUAUUAAAGGCAUAAACAUUUGAGCAAAUAUGGCUUGUAGCUUCAAAAUCAAUUACCCAAUUUGUGGGUGAAUCUAACAUUGGUUUGAAUGAAAUACAAAGACAAGUACGUGUAAUCUGAUCUGGACUAGCUUCCUGUUGUGUUUCAACCUUUGCAGCAAUGAGGUGAUCGUUCAACAUGCUUAGCAAAUGUUGAUAUUGAGUAGCAUUCAAUGUUUGCAUAAAAUCCCCAACCUUAUUUUGUGUUUGAUUUGAAUUUGAAAUCAAACCUGCUACAACACAAUUGGCUUGAUUCCUUGAUCCUCCAGUCCUUUGCUUAGGCUUGUAUCCAGGAGGAAAGCCAUGAAGUUUGUAACAUUUAUCAAUAACAUGAUCGGUGUAUCCACAAUAUGUGCACCUAGGCCUUUCUUUUUUUGAAACCUGUUUAUUGGUUAUCUUGCAGUCGACUUCCGGGCUCAUUUUUAACAUGAAAGGCCAUCGAUUCAUUAAUGUUGGUAAUAUCAUCAUUUGCAUUCACCUUCCUUUGAUUCUCCUCUUGUGCAACAAGAACAAAAACCUUAUUAAUUAGGGGAAUUGGAUCUAUUAGCAGCAGCUGGCCUCUUAUUUGAGCAAAGGACUCAUGCAAUCCCAUCAAGAACGACAUAACAUACUCCAUUUGAUAAUGUCCUGCAAGCUUUUUAUUUCUAACACAUACACAUUUGCCACACGAACAUAAAGGCCCACAGUUGCUAAGUUCUUCCCAAAUAGUUUUCAGCUUGGUGAAAUAGGCACUGACAAAUAAUUGGCCUUGUGUUAGAUUCAUCAGUUCACCCCUCAAUUGAAAAAUACGAGGACCAUUUUUCUAUUGAUAUCUCUCGAGAUCAACCCAAAUAUCAUGAGCUGACUCAGAGUACAUCACACUUGCUGAUAUUUCCUUCAACACUGAAUUGAGAAUCCAUAAAAUCACCAUGUUGUUGUUGCGGAUCCAGGCAUUGAGCAGAUCACCAGAAUUUUCAGGAGGCGAAAUGGAUCCAUCAAUAAAACCCAACUUGUUCUUCACAGAUAAUGCAAUUACCAUAGCUCAGCUCCACGAAGAAUAAUUGUCUCCUGUAAGAGGCUGUGAAACAAGCACCAAAUUGGGACUAUCUGAAUGGUGAAGAAAGUAGGGGUUUGAUCCAUCAUCACCUCCGAAACUGCUGGAUGAUGAUGCAGAAUCACGUGCGGAUUAAUUCGGAUUUUCUAUAGCCAUUGCUAAUUAAUUCAGAGACAGCGAAGGAGAAGCAUAAAGGCUUGCUCUGAUACCAUAUUAGAGAGAAGAAAUCUCUUUAUUUAGAAUGGAAAAAUGAAUACAUCUUGUCCGUAUAAAUACAAUUAGAACUAACUGAUUUUUACAGCUUUAUUCUAACUAACAAACUGACAGAUUUAACUAAAUAAAUUCUAUGAAUUUGGCGCCAAGAUGAGCUGAGCUAGAGUUCAACUGAGCUGGAAGUGAGCUGUCCUCUAGUACAAAGUCAAUAAUUAAUUUUAACCAUACAUUUCAUGGAAACCACAACUUUUCAACCAUACAUUUCAUGGAAGCCACAACUUUUCAACCAUACAUUUUAUCAACUUUUAUCAAAACCUAUUAAAAAUUUAAUUUGUAUCUGAACCAAGCAAAGACUUAGUUCUAUGCCAGAUGAUGGGCACAUUUGAGUAUCAACAUAAUAAUGUCCAUGCAAACAGUCCUAAAGACUGAGCUAUCUGCACCAAGCAACCUUGUAACGUUCCAGGUGCAAAAUCUCAAGAUCAAAAUCACCAUUGUGCAAGAAACAUUACCUCAUCACACUCGAUUCUCAUAGUCAAACUUUUGCAGUAUAAGUUGCAAAUGACUUUUGAGUCUCAUAUUCGACUUUCCUACCAUGUCCUGUCAGGAUGCUCAGACCACUUCAGAACAGAAAUGGUGAAAUAUGCUGACAGAUUGACCGACCCUUCUACCAAAUUUUUCAAAGCAACUUAGAUGAUGGAAAAGAAAAGAUACUGAACAGCGUUUAUAGGAAAGGACUUGCCAAAUGGAUCUAUUAUUACAAAAGAAGAGAGAAAAAAAAAACCAGGGAGGAUGAAGAAUCCUCUGGAAUUCAAACUAAAGAAGCUCCUUUAUUCAGUCGAUGGGGCUAUCACACGAGAAUGUUGCACUGUUAAGACAAAAUGUUCAUGAUUAUACCACUUAUGCAUCACAUUAUAGCAAUAACCAUUCAACCAUAAUAGACAGUUCCCCAAUCAUAACAGUGAAAUCAUACUUUAUGAUCCAUAACUUAAUCAAUCAUAAAGCGAGAAAAGUUGUGUCUUUCCAAGAAUCCAUUCGGUCUUCUUAUUCAUUAUAAAUCUAUCGGAUCGUCCUAAAGUAUUUUGCCUCAAUCAGAUGUUUGGCACUUUGCAACAACAUAAACCUCCGAAAAUAAGGCAAUCUUCAUUCCAAAAACCCCAUAAGCUACUCUAACAACAUCAUAAUCACUCACUUCAAGCAGAACAUAAAAACUGAAAGAAGAAGGGAUCAAAUCGAUACUUUUCCAGUCGUGGAUAAAAAAUAAAAAAAAAAACUUUCGUCAUUAAUAUAUAAAACAGCAAAACUAAGUAUUAAUUAUCAUGGGAACACCAUAAGCUAUCCAAACACAAUCAUCCCAAUUGAAAGCCUUCCUCAUUAUAAAUGUUCUGUAACCAUGUAAAUCAUCAUAAUUCAAACUAAAUCUCAUGAAAAUUUAACAAUACAGACACUGCACGACUCAUCAUUGCACAAAAUACAAGAUACAGUCAUAUAAAAAAAGAAAAAAAAAAAAAGGAAUUUUAAACCUCGAAUUUCGCCACUCGGUCUAAGAUGGAAUUAAUUAUAACUCACAAGAAAAGACCUGGGAAGGCAACCGCCAAGCUUCAUAUUUCGAAAAACACAUGUCAUCCAGAGCGUCGCUUUUGCACCAUCGACAAUUUGGAAUCUUGGCGCACUCGGAUCUGGAGCCCAAUUGCCCGCAAUCACUUGAUGAGUCGACCCGAUCAUCGUUCUUGAUAGUCCUAUAAGCAUAAGCUCGUGGUUCGGAUAAUGUACUUCCGAUUUGAUUCAGAACACCGGCGACAGAUACGACGACGUUUGAUGGAGUAGAGGAAGAGAUUAAUACUAAAAAUACGCAGAAAUAUAAGCUUAAACGAUUAACUAUUUCCAUUACGGUCAUUAACAAUAUAGAGUUUAUGUAAUUGGGAAUUGUGGUUUUGGGAAAAGAAACAGUAGAAAAUUUGAAGGAAAAAAAUUGGAAAAUCUUCGGGGCGUUUUGAUCUGUGUUGGUGUAAAAUUAGCAUCAGGUUAAUUCACAUGUAAAU